rnacentral:rRNA from 1 species
UACGGGGGGGGCAAGCGUUGUUCGGAAUUACUGGGCGUAAAGCGUGCGCAGGCGGUUGUGUAAGACAGAUGUGAAAUCCCCGGGCUCAACCUGGGAACUGCAUUUGUGACUGCACAGCUGGAGUGCGGCAGAGGGGGAUGGAAUUCCUGGUGUAGCGGUGGAAUGCGUAGAUAUCAGGAAGAACACCGGUGGCGAAGGCGGCUCGCUGGGCCAGUUCUGACACUCAUACGCGAAAGCGUGGGGAGCAAACAGG